CCACUCUGCCUCAUGGGAGGCCCAUGAUAUGAAAAUUUGGCAAGAGUAGAUUUUGGCAAUACAUUGAGUGAUGAUCCUGUGUCCACCAACGCAUUGGACAAGGCAUCGUAUUUACAAUUCAUAGAUAUAUGUAAAGCAAAAUUGUGGUCUUUUCCCUCCUCGGGAAGAUCACCAUCAUAAAAGCUCAAGUUGUUGCAGACAGUUAUAUU
rnacentral:lncRNA from 1 species